AUGGGCACUAAACUGCUCUGGUGGGUGGCCCUUUGUCUUCUGGGAACAGGCUUGGCGGAUUCUGGAGUCACCCAAACCCCAAAAUAUCUGAUCAAAGCCAAAGGACAACAAGUGACACUGAGAUGUUCCCCAAUCUCUGGACAUUUCUCUGUAUCCUGGUACCAACAGACCCUGGUCCAUGGUCUCCAGUUCCUCUUUGAAUAUUACUAUGGGGCACAGAGAGAAAAAGGAAAUGUCACUGAUCGAUUCUCAGCACAACAGUUCAACAACUACAGCUCUGAACUCAGUCUGAAAUCCUUGGAGCUGGGGGACUCAGCACUGUUUCUGUGUGCCAGCAGCAUGGCACAGACUGGCAUGAUCAUCAGCUUUCUGCACAAAAACAUUCCUGCCCCUGCUCAAGAGGGCAAGGCUGCCAGAUCUGCUCAGGCCCUGGGAAGGUGA